rnacentral:rRNA from 1 species
ACCCGCUGAACUUAAGCAUAUCAAUAAGCGGAGGAAAAGAAACCAACAGGGAUUGCCUCAGUAACGGCGAGUGAAGCGGCAAAAGCUCAAAUUUGAAAUCUGGCUCUUUCAGGGUCCGAGUUGUAAUUUGUAGAAGAUGCUUCGGGUGUGGUCCCGGUCUAAGUUCCUUGGAACAGGACGUCAUAGAGGGUGAGAAUCCCGUAUGUGACUGGGUACCUACGCUCAUGUGAAGCUCUUUCGACGAGUCGAGUUGUUUGGGAAUGCAGCUCAAAAUGGGUGGUAAAUUUCAUCUAAAGCUAAAUAUUGGCCAGAGACCGAUAGCGCACAAGUAGAGUGAUCGAAAGAUGAAAAGCACUUUGGAAAGAGAGUUAAACAGUACGUGAAAUUGUUGAAAGGGAAGCGCUUGCAAUCAGACUUGCGCCUAGUUGAUCAUCCGGGCUUCUGCCCGGUGCACUCGAUUAGGCUCAGGCCAGCAUCGGUUUGGGCGGUUGGAUAAAGGUCUCUGUCAUGUACUUCUCUUCGGGGAAGCCUUAUAGGGGAGACGACAUACAACCAGCCUGGACUGAGGUCCGCGCAUUCGUGCUAGGAUGCUGGCGUAAUGGCUGU